rnacentral:rRNA from 1 species
AAAUUGAAGAGUUUGAUCAUGGCUCAGAUUGAACGCUGGCGGCAGGCCUAACACAUGCAAGUCGAACGGUAGCACAGAGAGCUUGCUCUCGGGUGACGAGUGGCGGACGGGUGAGUAAUGUCUGGGAAACUGCCUGAUGGAGGGGGAUAACUACUGGAAACGGUAGCUAAUACCGCAUAACGUCGCAAGACCAAAGUGGGGGACCUUCGGGCCUCAUGCCAUCAGAUGUGCCCAGAUGGGAUUAGCUAGUAGGUGGGGUAACGGCUCACCUAGGCGACGAUCCCUAGCUGGUCUGAGAGGAUGACCAGCCACACUGGAACUGAGACACGGUCCAGACUCCUACGGGAGGCAGCAGUGGGGAAUAUUGCACAAUGGGCGCAAGCCUGAUGCAGCCAUGCCGCGUGUAUGAAGAAGGCCUUCGGGUUGUAAAGUACUUUCAGCGAGGAGGAAGGCAUUAAGGUUAAUAACCUUGGUGAUUGACGUUACUCGCAGAAGAAGCACCGGCUAACUCCGUGCCAGCAGCCGCGGUAAUACGGAGGGUGCAAGCGUUAAUCGGAAUUACUGGGCGUAAAGCGCACGCAGGCGGUCUGUUAAGUCAGAUGUGAAAUCCCCGGGCUCAACCUGGGAACUGCAUUUGAAACUGGCAGGCUUGAGUCUUGUAGAGGGGGGUAGAAUUCCAGGUGUAGCGGUGAAAUGCGUAGAGAUCUGGAGGAAUACCGGUGGCGAAGGCGGCCCCCUGGACAAAGACUGACGCUCAGGUGCGAAAGCGUGGGGAGCAAACAGGAUUAGAUACCCUGGUAGUCCACGCUGUAAACGAUGUCGACUUGGAGGUUGUUCCCUUGAGGAGUGGCUUCCGGAGCUAACGCGUUAAGUCGACCGCCUGGGGAGUACGGCCGCAAGGUUAAAACUCAAAUGAAUUGACGGGGGCCCGCACAAGCGGUGGAGCAUGUGGUUUAAUUCGAUGCAACGCGAAGAACCUUACCUACUCUUGACAUCCAGAGAACUUAGCAGAGAUGCUUUGGUGCCUUCGGGAACUCUGAGACAGGUGCUGCAUGGCUGUCGUCAGCUCGUGUUGUGAAAUGUUGGGUUAAGUCCCGCAACGAGCGCAACCCUUAUCCUUUGUUGCCAGCGGUCCGGCCGGGAACUCAAAGGAGACUGCCAGUGAUAAACUGGAGGAAGGUGGGGAUGACGUCAAGUCAUCAUGGCCCUUACGAGUAGGGCUACACACGUGCUACAAUGGCAUAUACAAAGAGAAGCGACCUCGCGAGAGCAAGCGGACCUCAUAAAGUAUGUCGUAGUCCGGAUUGGAGUCUGCAACUCGACUCCAUGAAGUCGGAAUCGCUAGUAAUCGUAGAUCAGAAUGCUACGGUGAAUACGUUCCCGGGCCUUGUACACACCGCCCGUCACACCAUGGGAGUGGGUUGCAAAAGAAGUAGGUAGCUUAACCUUCGGGAGGGCGCUUACCACUUUGUGAUUCAUGACUGGGGUGAAGUCGUAACAAGGUAACCGUAGGGGAACCUGCGGUUGGAUCACCUCCUUA